UAGCGCGGUGGUCCCACCUGACCCCAUGCCGAACUCAGAAGUGAAACGCCGUAGCGCCGAUGGUAGUGUGGGGCUUCCCCAUGCGAGAGUAGGGAACUACCAGGCA
rnacentral:rRNA from 1 species